AAAGAAGCAGCCAUUUUAAUCUGUGGCAUAUGGUCAUCCAAGGACAAACCCACAUCCCGCACACAGAGCAUCGCUGGAUCAGCCUUCAUGACAGAGCAGCAUAGAAAGGACCAGCUGAAACCGGAGACUCCUAAAAGAUUCCCUUCACAGGUCUGCCAGCUCCUCUCACAUAGAAACAGAGCUCAGAGAUCCUGGUGAGCAGUGUCCUCUACACCAGAAGCCACAUCAUCUCCUAAAAUGCAGAGCCUUCAGGGAGAAGUCCAUAGAAGAUCGCAAAGCUUGCUGAAAACGAACAACAUCUGUUGCAAGUGCUGCUCAUCAGUCUCCCACUUUGCCAAUGACUGUAAGGUCAGUGUAAAAUGUAUGGAAUGUGGCAGCACAGGUCACAACAAAGCCUGGGACAACACCAUGGACUUUACAACACACUUACAGUGGCAGCGAGCAUGGCAUGGAGGAUGAGCACACAGCUACAACCACAGC